GAUGAACGCUGGCGGCGUGCCUAAUACAUGCAAGUCGAGCGAACGGACGAGAAGCUUGCUUCUCUGAUGUUAGCGGCGGACGGGUGAGUAACACGUGGAUAACCUACCUAUAAGACUGGGAUAACUUCGGGAAACCGUAGCUAAUACCGGAUAAUAUUUUGAACCGCAUGGUUCAAAAGUGAAAGACGGUCUUGCUGUCACUUAUAGAUGGAUCCGCGCUGCAUUAGCUAGUUGGUAAGGUAACGGCUUACCAAGGCAACGAUGCAUAGCCGACCUGAGAGGGUGAUCGGCCCCACUGGAACUGAGACACGGUCCAGACUCCUACGGGAGGCAGCAGUAGGGAAUCUUCCGCAAUGGGCGAAAGCCUGACGGAGCAACGCCGCGUGAGUGAUGAAGGUCUUCGGAUCGUAAAACUCUGUUAUUAGGGAAGAACAUAUGUGUAAGUAACUGUGCACAUCUUGACGGUACCUAAUCAGAAAGCCACGGCUAACUACGU
rnacentral:rRNA from 1 species